UACAGAGGGGGCAAGCGUUGUUCGGAAUUACUGGGCGUAAAGGGCGCGUAGGCGGCCUGUUAAGUCGGACGUGAAAUCCCUCGGCUCAACCGGGGAACUGCGUCUGAUACUGGCGGGCUUGAAUUCGGGAGAGGGAUGUGGAAUUCCAGGUGUAGCGGUGAAAUUCGUAGAUAUUAGGAAGAACACCAGUGGCGAAGGCGGCUCACUGGCUCGGUACUGACGCUGAGGCGCGAAAGCGUGGGGAGCAAACAGG
rnacentral:rRNA from 1 species